GCUGAUUCUGCAGACAAGUGUACAGAUAUAUAGGCACAAAAUAUGCCCACAUGAAUGAAAAAGAUGGCUGCAACCUCCUCAGGUUUAUUUGUCAAGUCUAAACCAGUGGUUCUUAAAGUACUGUCUGUGGACCCCUGGAAUCCUUAAGACCCUUUCCAUUACAGAUUUGUGUGAGGCCAAAUUUUCUUCAUCUAACUUCAACCAAAACAAUGUAUCACAUCAGAUUGGAUGCAAACGCAGACAUGAAACCACAGCUGUUUUCCAUUAAACCAGACAUUAAAGAAACUUAUAAAAAUGUAAAACAACGC
rnacentral:lncRNA from 1 species